rnacentral:piRNA from 1 species
UAAACCAUGUUUUCAUUGGUGGUGUUAA